rnacentral:lncRNA from 1 species
CGCAUACGUGAGAUAUUGUCCAUUUUGACUCAUGACUAUCUUUAGACAUUAGUAGGCCUUUAGACUUCAAUGGGCCUUGAUCAUUUAGAGCCUGAUUUUAUCCUUUUAAAAGAUAUCUCACAUUGAGAGAAGAUUUUAAUUCAUAUAAGCCAUAUUUCCUCUUGACUCAUAACCGAUGUAGGAGUAAAUAGGCCCUCUCUACAUCACAACAGUCCCCC